CAGUAGCCGCGGUAAUACGAAGGGUGCAAGCGUUAAUCGGAAUUACUGGGCGUAAAGCGUGCGUAGGCGGUUUGUUAAGUCUGCUGUGAAAUCCCCGGGCUCAACCUGGGAAUGGCAGUGGAUACUGGCAAGCUAGAGUGUGUCAGAGGAUGGUGGAAUUCCCGGUGUAGCGGUGAAAUGCGUAGAGAUCGGGAGGAACAUCAGUGGCGAAGGCGGCCAUCUGGGACAACACUGACGCUGAGGCACGAAAGCGUGGGGAGCAAACAGGAUUAGAUACCCGAGUAGUCCCUGUCUCUUAUAC
rnacentral:rRNA from 1 species